rnacentral:tRNA from 1 species
GGAGAGGUGGCAGAGCGGUCGAAUGCGGCGGUCUCGAAAACCGUUACGGGUCGUUAGGCUCGUCGAGGGUUCAAAUCCCUCCCUCUCCG